rnacentral:rRNA from 1 species
UGAGGAUAAUUCCACAUAGGAGACAGAACCAGGAAAGGCCUGUCUCUGAAACGCUUCGGCGCUUCGAGAUGAGUUGGCGGCAGAUUAGGCUGUCGGUGGUGUAAAGGACCACCAAACCGAAGAUCUGUAGGGGGGAUGAGAGUCUGAGCCUCGAGAGGCACACUGAGAAAAGGGUGCCAGCCCUACGGGGUGCAGCAGUUGCGAAACCUUCACAAUGCGCGCAAGCGUGAUGAGGGAACUCCACGUGCUCAGAAUUUAUUCUGGGCUUUUGCUAAGUAUAAAAAGCUUGGCGAAUAAGUGGUGGGCAAGACCGGUGCCAGCCGCCGCGGUAAUCCCGGCGCCACAAGUGGUAUCCACGUUUAUUGGGCCUACAGCAUCCGUAGCCGGUUCGUUAUGUUUCCUGUGAAAUCUGGCCUCUCAAGGGUCGGGCGCGCGGGAAAUACUGGCGGACUAGAGAUUGGGAGGAGCAGACGGUAUGUCCGAGGGAGCGGUAAAAUGUUUUAAUCUCGGAUGGACCACCGAUGGCGAAGGCAGUCUGCUAGAACAAAUCUGACGGUGAGGGAUGAAAGCUGGGGGAGCAAAUUGGAUUAGAUACCCAAGUAGUCCCAGCCGUAAACUCUGCCUGUUUGGUGCGACAGCUUCUUCGAGAAGCUGUGGUGUCGUAGUGAAGACGUUAAACAGGCCGCCUGGGGAGUACGGCCGCAAGACUGAAACUUAAAGGAAUAGGCGGGGGAGCACUACAAGGGGUGAAUGCUGCGGUUCAAUUGGAUUCAACGCCCGGAACCUUACCAGCAUCGACAGCAGAAUGAAGGUCCUCUUAAAUGGGGUACUCGACACGCUGAGAGGUGGUACAAAGCCGUCGUCAGCUCGUGCCGUGAGGUGUUCAGUUAAGUCUGAGAACGAGCGAGACCUGUGUUUCUAGUUGCGACCUUGAUUUGCGAAAGUAGACUGAGAGCACAAUAGGAAGACUGCUGGCGCAAGCCAGAGGAAGGCGCAGGCUACGACAGGUGAUUGCCCCUAAUAUGCUGGGCUACACGUGGCAUGCAUUGGUCGAAACAACGGGUUGCAACUCCGAAAGGAGAAGCUAAUCCCUUAACCUCGACCUUGUUCGGAUUGAGGGCUGCAAUUCGCCCUCAUGAAGGCGAGAUCCCUAGUAAACGCGUUUUAGCAUAGCGCAUUGAAUAAGUCCCUGCUCCUUGCACUCACUGCCCGUCAACCCAUUCGAGUCGGGUCCGGAUGAGGUCCGUGCUGAACGGUUCGAAUCUGGGCUCGGUGAGGCGGGGUAAGUCGACACAAGGUA